rnacentral:lncRNA from 1 species
UGGAUGACUCUCCACAGUCCCUGCUCUCCAGCCACUGAGCAGCUGCCCAAACAUGUGCCACUGCUUCCUCUGCGCCUCUCUGCACACACGCUUUUCCCUCUGCUCUUAACACCUUUCCAUCUCCUGCUUUCUCCUCCUUCACCUAUGAAUUUCUCCUAAAGACUCAGGCUCAGCUCAAACAUCACCUCCUUGAGGAUCUCUUCCAGACCAAGGAUGGAGUAGGUGCUCCUCUGCGUUCCCUCAGCCCCAGGGCUA